rnacentral:rRNA from 1 species
AUUGAACGCUGGCGGCAGGCCUAACACAUGCAAGUCGAGCGGAUGAUGGGAGCUUGCUCCUUGAUUCAGCGGCGGACGGGUGAGUAAUGCCUAGGAAUCUGCCUGGUAGUGGGGGACAACGUGUCGAAAGGAACGCUAAUACCGCAUACGUCCUACGGGAGAAAGCAGGGGACCUUCGGGCCUUGCGCUAUCAGAUGAGCCUAGGUCGGAUUAGCUAGUAGGUGAGGUAAUGGCUCACCUAGGCGACGAUCCGUAACUGGUCUGAGAGGAUGAUCAGUCACACUGGAACUGAGACACGGUCCAGACUCCUACGGGAGGCAGCAGUGGGGAAUAUUGGACAAUGGGCGAAAGCCUGAUCCAGCCAUGCCGCGUGUGUGAAGAAGGUCUUCGGAUUGUAAAGCACUUUAAGUUGGGAGGAAGGGUUGCACGUUAAUACCGUGCAAUUUUGACGUUACCGACAGAAUAAGCACCGGCUAACUCUGUGCCAGCCGCCGCGGUAA